rnacentral:rRNA from 1 species
AUUGAACGCUGGCGGCAUGCCUUACACAUGCAAGUCGAACGGCAGCAUAGGAGCUUGCUCCUGAUGGCGAGUGGCGAACGGGUGAGUAAUAUAUCGGAACGUGCCCUAGAGUGGGGGAUAACUAGUCGAAAGACUAGCUAAUACCGCAUACGAUCUACGGAUGAAAGUGGGGGAUCGCAAGACCUCAUGCUCCUGGAGCGGCCGAUAUCUGACUAGCUAGUUGGCGGGGUAAAAGCCUACCAAGGCAACGAUCAGUAGCUGGUCUGAGAGGACGACCAGCCACACUGGGACUGAGACACGGCCCAGACUCCUACGGGAGGCAGCAGUGGGGAAUUUUGGACAAUGGGGGCAACCCUGAUCCAGCAAUGCCGCGUGAGUGAAGAAGGCCUUCGGGUUGUAAAGCUCUUUUGUCAGGGAAGAAACGGUAGUAGCGAAUAACUACUACUAAUGACGGUACCUGAAGAAUAAGCACCGGCUAACUACGUGCCAGCAGCCGCCGUAA